UACGUAGGGCGCAAGCGUUGUCCGGAAUUAUUGGGCGUAAAGAGCUCGUAGGCGGUCUGUCACGUCUGCCGUGAAAACCCGAGGCUUAACCUCGUGGCUUGCGGUGGAUACGGGCAGACUAGAGGUAGGUAGGGGAGAACGGAAUUCCCGGUGUAGCGGUGAAAUGCGCAGAUAUCGGGAGGAACACCGGUGGCGAAGGCGGUUCUCUGGGCCUUACCUGACGCUGAGGCACGAAAGCCAGGGGAGCAAACGGG
rnacentral:rRNA from 1 species